AUGUUUAUUUUGAGAGCAAUAGAGUGCACAUGUGAGCAGGCGAGAGGCAGAGAGAAUCGGGCAGGCGCUGUGCUGUCAGUGCAGAGCCUGACGCGGUGAACGAAGAUCGUGACCGGUGCUAAAAUCAAGAGUCAGACACUUAACUGACUGACCCCGGUGCCCCCAGACACACUUCUUAAAUGCAAGGACACAGUUAGACCUCAAACAAAAGUCUGGGGAAAGAUAAGCCAUGCAAACAGUAAACAUAAGAUACAUGUAGUGGCAACAUUAAUAUCAGAGUAAGUGCCCUUCAAGAUGAGUGCUACUUGAGACAAGGAGGACCGCUUUAUAAUAAAAGGGCCCAUAUAUCGGGAAGAUGCAGUAACGAGUGUGCAUUUAAACACGAAGCUUCAAACCAUGUGAAGUGAAGUAGACAGAGCAGGAGCAAAGGAAAAAUCAGCAAAGCCCCAGUCCUAUGUGGGGCCCCGGCCCGCCUCUCAACAGGUGGUGGGGCAGGGAGACAAGAGUAUCAGUAAGCCUGGAGGAGACCGGAACAUCGUCAACCACUUGAACUUCGUGAUUGACAUUUGUAAACAUCACAGUAAAUGCAGAAUCAGUGUUCUUUUCUAGUGCGUGUAGAAUGUUCACAGGUGGACCGCUUGUAGAGAAAGAAGUCUCAGUAACUUCUCAAAGAUUGAAAUCUUAACAGUAUGUUCUCUGACCACAAUGAAAUUAGAUUAGAAAAAAGUUAAAUCUUUAAAAGCCCUGAAUAUCUGGAUGUUAAACAGCUCCUAUCUAAACAAGUCAUGACUUAGAAAAGAAAUCACAAAGGAAAUUGUAAAGUACUUGUUCUGAAUAACUAUAUAUCAAAAUUUGUGAGAUUUUGCUAAAGCAGUAUUUAGAGGGAAAUUCAUAGUUUUAAGUGUAUAUUUUAGAAAAGAAGCCUAAAAUCAAUUAUCUAACCUUCUCCCUUGGGAAGAUAGAAAAAAAGAACAGUAAAUUAAACCCAAGGUAAGUCAAAGAAAAGAAACAAUAAAGAAAACAAACUAUAAGAACAAAUAAGUUGGUUAAAUGUCCAACUUCGGCUCAGGUCAUGAUCUUACAGUUUGUGAGUUCAAGCCCCGCGUCGGGCUCUGUGCUGACAGCUCGGAGCCUGGAGCCUGCUUCGGAUUCUGUGUCUCCCUCUCUCUCUGCCCUUCCCCCACUCACACUGUGUCUCUCUCUGUCUCUCAAAAAUAAAUAAAUGAAAAAAAAAUUUUUUUUAAUUAAGGAAAAAAAGAACAGUUGAGAAAAUCAGUGGAGCCAAAAGCUGGUUCUUUGAAUAGAUCAAUAAGAUUGAUAAAUUUCUAGCCAAGCUUACCCAAAAAAGUAAAUAAGAAAAAAACACAGAGGAAGCAAAUGACCAAUUUCAGGAAUGAAUGAAGGGAUAUUACCAAGGGGCCUAAAGACACUAAAAAGAUUGUAAGGGAAUAUGUAAACAAUAAAUUUGUGAUCUAAUAAAUGUGACUUAGAUGAGAUGGAUGGACACAUUUGUUGGAAGACAAAAACUACCAAAUUAAAACAAGAAGAAAUAGAAAAAUCUGAUAACCUAAUACCUGUUCAAUUCAUAAUUGAAGUCCUUCCUACAAAGGGGUGCCUGGGUGGCUAAGUGUCCAACUUCGGCUCAGGUCGCGAUCUCACGGACCUCACAGUUCGUGAGUUCGAGCCCCGUAUCAUGCUCUCAUGUCAGCACAGAGUCUGCUUUGGAUCCUCUUCCUCCCUUUCUUGCCCCUCCCCCACUGGUUCUCUCUCUCUCUCUCUCUCUCUCUCUCUCUCUCUCUCUCUCUCUAUCUCAAAAUAAAUAAAUUUUAAAAAUAAGAUCCUUCUUACAAAGAAAACUACAGGCUCAGAUGCUUCACUGGUGAAUUCUCUUAAACAGUUAAGGAAGAAGUAAUAGUAACGUGAGCCAAACUUUCUCACAAAAGACAGGAGUAGGGAGUGGUUCCUGACUAAUCUUAUAAGACCAAUAUUGCUCUGAUUUCAAGACUUGACAAAACCAUUGAGGACAACUAUAGACCAAUAUUCCAGUAUCUUUUAUAAAUGCUAUAUAAAGGCAAACAUCCUAACCAAAGUAUUAGCAAAUGCCAUUCAGUAAAAAUAUAUUAGGACUGAAUGGAAUUUAUCCCAGACAUGCAGGAUUGUUUUAACAUUAGAAAAUUGAUGUAAUUCACCAUGUCAACAAAGUGAAGAGUAAAGCCAUCUCCAUAGAUGCAGAAAAAGCAUUUCACAAAAUCCAAUAGCCAUCCAUAACGAGACUGGGGAUAAAAGAGAACUUCCUCAAAUUCCCAAGGGGCACUUGUGUAAAAUCUAUAGCAAACAUCACAUUUAAUGGUGAAAUUCUGAGUAUAUUGCCUCCAAGAUCAGUAAUAAAGUAUGGAUGUCCACUUCCGUCUUCUAUGGAGGUCCUGGCCAGUGCCUAAAGAGCAGUAAAAGAGAAAAGUACACAUGGGUGCCUGGGGGGCUCAGUCGGGUAAGCGUCCGACUUCAGCUCAGGUCAUGGUCUCGUGGUUUGUGAGUUCAAGCCCCGUAUCGGGCUCCAUGCUGACAGCACGGAGCCUCCUUGGUAUUCUCUCUCUCUCCCUCUUUCUCUAUUUCUCCCAUGCUCUCUCUCAAGAAAAAGGAAACUUAAAAAAAGAAAUAAAAGUACACAGAUUGGAAAAUAAGUAAAACUGUCUUUAUUUAUAUUUGACAUGGUCCUUUUGUAGGAAAUCCUAAGGAAUCUAUUACCAGAACUAAUAAUUUCCUGCAAAAUAAUUUAGCAUGGUCACAGGAGAAAAGGUCAAUAUGUCAAAAUCAGUAGUUUUCUAGCAACACUGGGAAAUUGAAAUUUAAAAUGUGAUUUCAUUUACAAUAGCAUUUAGAAAUACGAACUACUUAGGGAUAAAUUUAACAAAAUGUGUACAAGACCUGUAAAAAAUAUAAAACAGCACUGAGUUAAAAAAGAUCUAAAUAAAUGGAGUGAUAUACCACAUUCAUGGAUUGGAAGAUUUAACAUUGUUAAUAUGGCAGUUCUCCGUUUAUCUGUACAUUCAGCACAAUUCCAAUAAAGCCACAGCAGGCUUUUUUUUUUUUUAAUUGAAAUUGACAGGCUGAUUCUAAAUUCAUAUGUAUUACAAAGGACCUAGAAUAGCAAAAGCUAUAUUAAAAAGAACAUAGGUAGAAUACUUAAACUAUGUAGUUUCAAGACUCAUACUAGUUAGAACUUUAGAUUAUAAUAGAUUCUAGAGCUAUACAAUAAUCAAGACAGUGUGGUCAUAAGGGUAGAUAACACAAAUGAGUGAAACAGAAUUCGGAGUCCAAAAGUGGGCUCACACUUAUAUAGUGGACUCAUUUUCAACAAGGUUACCAAGGAAAUUCAGUGGGAAAGGAAAGAAGUUUUUUGUUUUUUCAGCAAAUGGUCCUGGGAUAAAUGGAUAAUCUAAUGGACAAAAAUGAAUGCUUAACUCUACACCAUUCACAAGAAUUAAGUCAAAAUGGAUUAUAGACCUAAAUACAAACUACAAAAACUUUUAGAAGACAACAUAGGAGAAAAUCUUUGCAAUCUUGCAAAAGGUAAAGAUUUCUCAAUCUAAUAUAAAAAGCAUGGACCACCAAAGAAAAUUGAUAAAUGUGACUUUUCUGAAAUUAAAAACCUUUGUUCUUCAGAAGACAUCAUUUAGAACAAUAAAAAGUCAAUCCAUGGGAUAAGAAAAAAUAUUCCAAGUUCAUAUAUUGGAUGACAGACUUAUUUUGGGAAUAUAUAAAGAAUUCUUAGAAUUUUUUUAAGUUUAUUCAUUUAUUUUGAGAGAGAAAGCAUGAGCAGGGGAGGGGCAGACAAAGGGAGAGAGAGAGAGAGUCCCAAGCAGGCUCCGAGCUACCAAAACAGAGCCCAACACAGGACUCGAUCCCACAAACCUCAAGAUCAUGACCCAAGCCGAAAUAAAGAGUCUGAUGCUCAACCGACUGAGCCACACAGGCAUUCCAAAAAUUCUUACAACUUAAUAAUAAAAUGACAAGCCUUUAAAAACGGGCAAAGAUUUGAGUAGACACUUCACGAAAGAAUAUGCAAUAAUGGCUACUAAGAACAUGAAAAAUACUCAACAUUAUUAGACAUCAGAGAAGUGCAAAUGAAAACCACAAUGAGAUACAACUACCUAUUUGUUAGGAUAAAAUUUUAUUUUUUAAUUUUUUUCAUGUUUAUUCAUUUUUGAGAGAGAGAAACAGAGCACGAGCAGGGAAGGGGCAGAGAAAAGGAGGGAAACACAAGAAUCCGAAGCAGACUCCAGGCUCUGAGCCAUCAGCACAGAGCCCAAUGCAGGGCUUGAACCCACAAACCACAAGAUCAUGACUGGAGCUGAAAUCAGAUGCUUAACCAACUGAGACACCCAGGCGCCCCCAAGGAUAAAAUUUUAAAGUCUGAUAACACCAAGUGUUGGUGAGGAUGUAUAGCAACUAGAAUUUCCUUAAAUUUACGGUGGAAAUGUAAAAACAUUUCUUAAAUAUAUACCAACCAUAUGUCUCAGUCAUUCCUCUGAAUUAUUUCUCAAAGAGAAAUGAAAACCUAUGUCUACAAAAAGACUUGUGCAUAAAUGUUCAUAGCAGGUUUAUUUGUAAUAGCCAAAAACAAUAAACAGCUCAAAUGUCCAUCAACAGAUGAAUGGAUAAAUAAAUACUGGCAUGUCUGUACAGUGGAAUACUAUUCACCAAUUAAAAGAAACCUGUGGGGACCACUUACGUACACAGCACUGUGGGCAAAUUUCAAAAUCAAGCUGCGUGAAAGAUGCUAAACACGAAGUAGGAUUAUAUAGGAUUUUCUUUUCAUAGUUUUUUUUUUUUUCAUUGAAACGCCUUCAAUAAUUUUUUAAUCUGUAUGUUUACAAAGCUCUUGCAGGAAAGGAAGCCCUAACAUAUUUCUGUUUGGCAAAUGAAGAAUACGAAAUUAGGAGAGGUAAACAAAUUUAGCCACAUAAGGUCCGAAACAUAGUUGUGUAGUUGAGACUUGAACCUAGUUCAUACUGAAACUAGAGUCUGGGCUUUUUCUUUUUCUUUUUUUUUUUUUUUUUUUUUUUUUCUUUUUCACUAUAACACACUGUCCUGUGCAGUUUAGUGAGGAUUUGGUCCUGAAACCACGUGUUGGGUUUCUUUUUUUUUUCUUUUUUUUAAUUUUAACUUGUUUUAUUUUUUAAAAUUUACAUCCAAAUUAGUUAGCAUAUCGUGCAACAAUGAUUUCAGGAGUAGAUUCCUUAGUGCCCCUUACCCAUUUAGCCCAUCCCCCCUCCCACACCCCCUCCAGUAACCCUCUGUUUGUUGUCCAUAUUUAUGAGUCUCUUACAUUUUAUCCCCCUCCCUGUUUUUAUAUUUUUGUUUCCCUUCCCUUAUGUUCAUCUGUUUUGUCUCUUAAAGUCCUCAUAUGAGUGAAAUCAUAUGGUAUUUGUCUUUUUCUGACUGACUAAUUUCACUUAGCAUAAUACCCUCCAGUUCCAUCCACGUAGUCGCAAAUGGCAAGAUUUCAUUCUUUCUGAUUGCCGAGUAGUACUCCAUUGUAUAUGUAUAUACCACAUCUUCUUUAUUCAUUCAUCCAUCAAUGGACAUUCGGGCUCUUUCCAUACUUUGGCUACUGUCGAUAGUGCUGCUAUAAACAUGGGGGUGCCUGUGUCCCUUCGAAACAGCACACCUGUGUCCCUUGGAUAAAUGCCUAGUAGUGCAAUUGCUGGGUCAUAGGGUAGUUCUAUUUUUAGUUUUUUGAGGAACCUCCAUACUAUUUUCCAGAGUGGCUGCACCAGCUUGCAUUCCCAUCUUUUCAUAAUAUUCUAGAGAAAGAAACUAAUUUGUAGUGACAGAAAGAUUAGUGGUUAAUUAGGGUGGGGGUGGAAGGAGGGAGUAUCACAAAGGAGCACUCAGAAAAUGUCAGGAAUGAUGAAAAUACUCUGUGUCUUGUGACCAUGGUUUUUCAGUCGUAUAUAUCUGUCACACUUACUGAGUUGUCCAGUUAAAAUGAAUGCAGUUUGUUCCUUCUCCCCCUUCCUACAGCCUAGAAGAGAGUGGGGCAGCAGAUGUAAGUUCCAGAGACCGUUAUGGAUCUUGGGGGCACUGCUGGUUUUGGCCAGUACUUUCAGAGGUGGCUUAAGGAUGAUCAGGCCAAUUCUUGGGGAGUGGGGGUGGUGACAGGGAGAGAUGGAGAAGCUCUUCCAAAAUGUCAAGCAAAAUUAAGGACAAAAGCGAGCUGUACUUUACAAAGCUUAAGGACAGGGGCACCUGGGUGGCUCAGUCAGUUAAACACCCAGCUAUCGAUUUCCGCUCAAGUCAUGAUCUCACGGUGGUGAAAUCGAGCCCCUACAUCAGGCUCCACACUGGGCGUGAAGCCUGUUUAAGAUUCUCUCUCCUUCUCCCUCUGUCCCUCCCCCACUCGCAUGUGCAAGCUCUGUCAAAAAUAAAAAUAAAAAAAUAAGAAGCUUAAGGACAAAGCCCUCAUCCAAUCCUUGCCAGAGUCAAGACUGAUGGAAAAGCCCACCCCAGAUCGACAGGGCCACAUGGCCAUCAGGGGCAUGUCUCCACAGCUCAACACCCCUCUAGCCUGGAGCAUUAUGUGAGGUGUCAUGGCAAGAAUUUCAGUCCAUCCUCCUCACCGUCCUGCCACCUAUGAGCCAGCUGACCAGCAUACAUUUAGUACUGUUCUAGAUGCUGGCAUGAACAAUGUCAAGGCCCAAACCUAGUUUUGAGUCCAGAGCUCACAAAAGCCAAGCAGAAGAAUUUCAUGGUAUGCUACCUCAUGUGUCAUGAAUUAGAGGGAAACACCUAAAUAAUCAUACAUGGAGGAAGACUCUGAAAGGUAGUUAUUGAACAAGAUCGUUCCACUCAUCUGGGUCCCUGUCCUCUCUAGAAAGCCUCCCAUAGGUGUUCCUGCCAGUAUGUCCAUGCCUCACCCCCCACCCGCACAGCCACCAACAAGAAACUCUUCUCUGCCAGUGUAUGUAAGUUAUACUUCAUUAGAGAUACAGGGAGUAACAUGUAUUAUCAAUAUUAACAAUAUUGAUAAUAGUUGAUAAGAAUCUGUUAAAUAAAUAAGAACCUGUGAACAAAGCAGAACCAAAUCGUGACCUGGGGAGAGUAGUCUGCUGGGUUCUGCGUAACUGUUGAGUGGCCUAGUGGACACAGCUGGUGCUCUUGGGCCACGCUGCCUAGGCGGGACCUGAGCCACUCACGGCUGCGGAGCCCCGGGGGUGUGCCCUAUCUGAGUUGAGAUAUGUGAGUCAAUAUAUACCCGAUUUGCAAGACUUCAUGAGAGAAAGAGGAUGUGAAACCUCUCUGUGUUUUCAAUAUUGGUUACGUGCUGAAAGACAUAUUGCAUGAAAGAACACACAUUAGCAUUAAUUCCACUUGUAUUUCGGCUUUUCUUAAAUGCGGCUACAAGAAAAAUGGAAAUUACCACGUGGACAGUGCGGUGCUAGUGAGUGGUAACAGCGAGGUGGGGCGUCCUUCGGUCACGCCGUGGUCGGGGCCAGCUCCCUAGGGUGCUCUUGCUUUGGACAUUCUCCGCUCGGACCGCUUGCUUAUAACUGUCCUCGCUAAAAGUUCAACCAUCUUAGAAGGGGCAGCUUUUAUAAUUUUAUUGUCAUUUCAUCACUUCUAAAACGGUAAUCUCGGGGCGCCUGGGUGGCGCAGUCGGUUAAGCGUCCGACUUCAGCCGGGUCACGAUCUCGCGGUCCGUGAGUUCGAGCCCCGCGUCGGGCUCUGGGCUGAUGGCUCAGAGCCUGGAGCCCGUUUCUGAUUCUGUGUCUCCCUCUCUCUCUGCCCCUCCCCCGUUCAUGCUCUGUCUCUCUCUGUCCCAAAAAUAAAUAAACGUUGAAAAAAAAAAAUUUAAAACGGUAAUCUCUAUUAAUUGUAGAAAACUUCAGAUACCGUAGGUGAAUAAGACAAAAGCCAUUGAAAACUUUACUUCUGACAAGCAACCACUGGUCAAAGUAAACUUUUUACCAUUAAUACGUUGACUUAUCCCUUCAGUCUUUUUGUACGUAUGCAUUUUAUAGAAAAACAGAGAAACUGGAAUCGCAUUGUUUCGCGGUCUCGGUUUAUCAUUUCAGGAGCUGCUGCUUCUCUCCGUAUUCCGCUUCCUUUUCUUCUUGGGUUUAAAUCUGUUUGUGUUUUUUUGUUUUGUUUUUUGAAACUGACGUUUUAUUUUUCACAGUUAAAGAUGUAACUUUUCUCCGUGAAAAUCUGUACGUUUGCCGUGGGGGCCCCUCCCUCACAAGGUGCCAGGCUGCCUGCUUGCCCUCUUCCCAGGCCCCCUGACUGUUUUCUUUCCGCCAGCAGCACAAAAUGUGUCGUCCGCUGGACCUCCUUCCAGUCCUUUUGGAACUUUAAGAUCUUGUUUCAUUGUUGACCCUCAGCUUCAGAAGCCCAAGGGACCAGACGUUCUCAGGAACGGCGGUUCGCUACCUGAUGUGGGUUGGUUACGCCUCGCAGAUGGUUCUGGGUGGUUCUGGGUGACGUGCUCACGCCCCGGCAGUCAAGGUCCGGUCGGUGCAUUUGGCAGCUCGGGUUCCAGUCUGUGGAAAGCAGAGGUCACAGAGCGGAAGCCUAGGGAUCUCCGUCUUCAGCAGUGGCGUUUUUCUUCUACUCCCACACGCUACCUUACAGUUAAAAAAAAAACAAAAAAAAUCGGUUUCCAACCUUCAGAAGCCAGGAUGCUCCACAUUAAAAUUUGGAAUUUUGGCUUCCCUUGAAAAGGAGAAGCCCCGGACCUGUCUGUCUUGUACAGAAGCUGGUCCCAGGGCUUCUGGGUGACCUGUGAGCCCUCUGUUCAGGGUUGAGCUCUGGGUCAGUGUUGACACGGCCGAAGUGUGGUCUAACGGCAUCGAGACACGAAGCCCCAGAACGGCCGCUCGCCGACACAGCAGCGGAGGCGGCUUCGAGGCGGCACUGGCCACCACCGGCCACCUGCAGUCCUGCGUCAGGCCCCCUCGCUGGGGGUCGGGCCAAGCCCUCUUCCCUCUGGCGGCUCCCUACUCCCCUGCCAGUGGCUCGAGGCUCAAAACCGGCCGCUCCGCUGCCUCCUGUGUUUGCUAAAGAGGGGAGAUCAGAUGCCUGGGGGGGGGAUGUGCGGCACCAGCCGUUGGCACGGCAUGCAGAGUAAGAAGGGGAAAGUUCAUGGCUUAUCAUGUUUUUAAGUUUUUUUUUUAAUUAGUGCUUAUUUUUUAGAGAGAGAGAGACAGAGCAUGAGUGGGGGAGGGGCAGAGGGAGAGACGGAAACACAGGAUGUGAAGCAGGCUCCCGGCUCCGAGCCGUCAGCCCAGAGCCCGACGCGGGGCUCGAACCCACAGACCGCGAGAUCAUGACCCGAGCCGAAGUCGGACACUUACUGAGCCACUCAGGUGCCCCAUGACUUUAAUUUAUAUACGAUCAAGGUGAUAGAUGCGUCUCAGAAAAAGUGAUUAUUUCUUUUAAAGCCAGGAUAUUAUGGCCCCUCCCGCCUCCCUGAAGAGUAGCUGGAAAAUCCCUUCGUGAAUAUAAUGAAGACCUUUUACUCUCUAUCACGGUGAAUAAUUCUGUUUAUAUCAAGUUCAGUUUCCCAAAAACCGGCGAAUGAAACUCCCAUUUUCAUAUCUAAAUUGGUUGAUUGUUUAAUAUCUUUAAUACCUCUCAUCUCUGACCCCCGCUUGCUCAAAUGUUCAAUUUCUCGGACUCGGGUGGCAAGCCCGGGAUUCCUGGAAGCACCUGGGAUAAAAAGCUCAGUUUUGACUGCGGCAGAACUCACUUUGCCUCUCGGGAAGGGGGCGGCGGUUUGGACUGGGGCACAGGGGAGCAAGGGCCACGCGGCGCCUGCUUUCCGACAGCGCGGUCUGAAGGCGGGGUGUCAGGGAGCUUAGCUCCAGCGCCAGUGGGAGAGAAGAGGGAGAGGGUGUGUUGGGGGAAGUGUAGAACCUCAGGGCAAAUGCUGGAAGCAACAGUUCUCAGCCCUGAGCAGUUGGACUCACGGGGAGCUCUGGGAACAUGUGCGAACACUCUCUCUCUCUCUCUCUCUCUCUCUCUCUCUCUCUCUCUCUCUCUCACACACACACACACACACACACACACACAGGCUCGCACACCCAGCCCCAGAGGUUCCGAUUUCAUCCGUCUUGCAAGGGUUCCGGGCCUUGGUAUUUUUAAAAAGUCCUCAGCAAGCGUGGGCGCCCACGGGGCUAGUCUUCUCGGCGGGCCCUCUGUUUCCCGCCGGGCUCACCACCCUUUGCUCUAAUCGCUUUAGUGUCACAAAUGAAGUCCGCCCUUCUGAUGUGGGGACGGCAGUGUGGAAAGGCAGUCCAGGGGCGCAUUUUGGCUACCUCAGUGUGUGGAGCUGAGAAGGCUGGGAGGAAGGACCUUUCACCUUGCGCUGCUCGGUACCCCAGCUGGUUUCUGGGGUGCCGUGCAAGGCGCCCUGGAGCCCUGUCGGAGGCCGGUGGACGGGUGUGUGUGGGACCAGAGGAGGCCGUGCCCUGCCAGCCUGCUUUCCGGGCCCAGCGUCAGGGGCCCUGGGACCUGGUUUCGCUUUUCCGGGUCAGUGCCUUAUCGCCUGCUGCUGGUAAGUUCCUUCCGCAUCAUUGCAGACCCCGCAGGUCACAAGAAGCUCCAGAUAGGGUCGUCUGUUCCCAAUCAGGAAGGAACUCGCUUCCCUGUUUCUCAAAUAAAUCCCCACUCUCACUGACCUCUUAAGUCCUUGUACGUGCCUGAGGGAGCGUCCUAGGGUCCACAGACCUUUCUGCCCUGUGAGUUUGCAGAUCUGCUGACCGACUAGCUGAUGGUCCUCGGCGGGAGUAAAAUUGAUCCUGGAGAAUCGAGCCAGCCCAGCCGACGCCUUCCCACUUCUACGUGGUGGCUCGAACGUGAGAAGAUAGGAGAGGACUGUGGCACCGACACUGAAGGAGGGCAUUUUCAAAAGUCUCACAUCACUGGCGUGAAGAAAUGACUGCUCGUUUUGGUGGAAGGGUUGCUGAUGGCACCCAAGCAUUUUCGGUCAAGUGUCCUUCAAACUGCAGAGCGAGAUCCUCGGAUGGAUCAGACAAGCAUUUUGUGGUCUGUGAGUCACAACGUGGAGAAGCACAUCACACGUAGAUAAGGGCACCUUGUCAUGAAAUCGUGAGUCCCGGUGCAAACAAAAUGGCAACCGCACGCACUUCUGCGUAGAGUGCGGACAGUGACGCGGGGACGGGCUCCGUGGUUUACUUCAUCCCCCAGCUGCUGUUCAAGUGCUGGGCACUCUGCUGAGGGCUUCCCUGAUGGUUUGUCCCCUCCCGUGACUACUCCACUGCUUCACUUUCCUUAGAAACCCGAGAAAGAAAGAAGCCCUUCCAACGAAGACGAGUUUGUUUCCGGUUUUGCUACAUUCCACGGGGCGUGUUUCUUUCUCCGGAGUAAGUUGGUGUCCCACUUAGGCUUCUCUCUGAGAACAGACACGUGGCCAAGGGCUGGGCAGGUAUCGUCCUUUGUCCUGGGGUCCCUCAUGUCAGGGAGGUGGAUUGGACAGGAAGCAAGGGGGCAGUCAUGGGCCCCGCUGUGGUAGACAGUUACUUUAGGUUUUCUUUUUUUUCUUUUUUUAACUAUUUUUUUUUUGAUGUUUUAUUCAUUUUUGAGAGAGAGGACAACAGCGUACGAGCAGGAGAGGGCAGAGAGAGAGGGAGACAGAAUCCGAAGCAGGCUCCAGGCUCCGAGCUCUCAGCACAGAACCUGAUGCGGGGCUCCAACCCACAAGCUGUGAGGUCAUGACCUGAGCCAAAGUCGGACGCUUAACCGACUGAGCCACCCAGGCACCCCUACUUUAGGUUUUCUGUGGGGUUUUAGGAGCAGGAGGUUUUCGGCUCAUUUCUCAACUGUGAAGUGAACAAACCAGUCAUUUGCUAUUGGUGUGGAGAAACACUUGUUUUUACUCAAGGUCACAAGAGAGGCUGUGCUUAGUGUCCUAGUAUUUAUGGCAGAGUGCUGAUAUUUCCUGGUUGUAGGACAAGGGUGAAAUAAGAAGAAAGAUCGUUUUUUUCCUGGCUACUUUUAAAGGAAUGAACCGGUAUAAAAAGGGAAACUGCUGAUCCUAGAAAAUGGAUUUUUUUCUAAAGAUUUUAUUUUUAAGUAAUCUCUCCACCCAACAUGGGGCCUGAACUCACAACCCUGAGAUCAAGAGUCACGUGCUCAACCUCUGGAUCCAGCCAGGUGCCCCCAAAAUUAAUUCUUGACAAUCCCCAGAAUUCUGUUUAUAGCACCCACCUUGGAAAAUUUUUAAAGUUGGGCAUCGGCGAAGCCAAAGGUAUUUUGCUUGUUGUCCUCUUCCAGAAGCUUAUAAGUUUUAUUUGGGUUUUAGGUGCGUUACUGUGCAUCAUGUGGAUUACUAUGCAGGUCUGCUAGGUGUCUUUAAUUAUGUGUGGAUGAUUCCUUCACCACAUCUCAGAAGUUGUGCAGAAGAGAGGGUACCUUGUCUGCUCUCUGCCAGAGUCCUGGUCCUUGCUGUGUGUGAAACACAGACCUUCAUCCAGGGCAGGGUCCUAAGGGUUACAACCACCAGCACAAAGUGAAACGCACCAAACACAAGCACCCUCCCGCGGUCGGUCCUCCGGCUGGCUGUCCCUUCAUCUCUACAGCCGACGUGGACUUUUUCCUACCACCAUCUGACGUCUGAACUCCGACAUGAAAGAAUAAAGAAAGUGCCAAAACCACGCUUGCCGAAGUUCGCUAUAGGUCAUUUCACGGUAACCUAGAUGUUACUGGACCAAGAGGGUUAGACAGUUUUAGCUAGAACACCAGGUGUUUGAGCCUGAAAAUAAAUUCCUAAUGUCACUGAUUCAGCGUGUAUUAGGGAGGGCCUGCUGUGUGCCAGGCACUGUGUUAGGCCCCCAAGGGUACCGUAGUGAACAUACUAGACCUGAUGGCCCCUCUUGGGGCUUAUAGCCAGCCAGCCGACAGAUGCAUUUUCAGUACCUUUUUCAAAACUAAACUGUCACCGGGGCGCCUGGGUGGCUCCGUCAGUUGAGCGUCCGACUUCGGCCCAGGUCAUGAUCUCACAGUCUGUGAGUUCGAGCCCCGCAUCGGGCUCUGUGCUGAUGGCUCAGAACCUGGAGCCUGCUUCCGAUUCUGUGUCUCCCUCUCUCUCUGCCCCUUCCCUGCUCAUGCUCUGUCUCUCUCUCUCUGUCAAAAAUAAAUAAAAACAUAAAGAAAAAAGAAAUUAAAAAAAACUAAACUGUCACCAAACAGACGAGAUCUUAGAAGAGCUCAGAUUGCCCAGCUGGGUAAAGACCGUUAUGUGUUGUUUGUGAAUUUCUGAGAAAGGAGUGUUCAUGUGGUUGAGUCUCUAAAGUUAAACCAGUCCACACACAUUUUUUAGAGGAUCGUUUUCAUCCCUUCCCUGGCCCCGUGAUGUUUGUUUGUGUUGCUCAGCUUGGAUAGCGGCAGAGCUGGCUCCAGAAACGGACCGUCCCAGUUCAGCAAGGCCAGCAGGACGCACAUUAGCGGACGGGCUGCUGGUGUGUGCCUUCUGACGCCGUGACCGCGACCGAGGCGGGCAUCGCUGGCGAGGGUGCUGCCUCCACAGCGCCCUGAAAGAGCUACCGUGAAACCCUCCCAGCGUGGAAUUUUGUAACACACAUCAAACAUAUGCCUUUCAUCCGAAAAGACUUCCUUCGUGGCCGUUCCUUAGCAAAGGUUACGCUGUAUUCACACUCGCGUCUCAAGCUAAGCCAAACCAUACGGCAGUGCAGACGGGCUUUUUUGGUUUGUCGAAGCGGACCGCGUGACUGCUUUCUUUGGCUGCUGUGUCUGAGUCCUGGAACUUGUUUCAGGUAGAUCAUUUGACCUGAGAGGAUAGCCGCUUGAGUCGCUAAUUGUCCUCUGCGGUUUGCUCCCAUCUGAGAGCACAAGUGAGAAGGAAGGCCGCUGGGCUCGCGAGCGCCACACACGGCCCAUCCGUGUCCCCGGCCCCGUCCAGGGAGCGUCCAGGGAUGCUCCCCGGCAUCACAGACUUCGUAUUGUCCUGUUCUGGUUUUUUAGAAUAAUUCUCUUCUUAUCCGUUUGCUCCCCCUAAAGCGUUUAGCCUUUUAAAUCCGCUCCCUUAUUUCAUUUUUAAAUGAGCUACACAAACUUCAUGGAGGACAAGGACAAGGACAUUUCAGAGAGUAAGAGGAAAGAGCAUUCCAACAUAAAUGUGAAAGGCAAACCGUUAAAAUGGAACUCUGCUGCAGCCUUGAAAAAAGGUCAAGACUUUGUAUCACAGACUUCCGAGUGCAGCUUUUCAAACAACCCCACCUUUACCUUGCCUGCCUGUUUUAGAUCUUGUCUACGGAGGAUUCGACUCUUUCCAUGCGUUUUGGAAUUAGCACACACUGGGUUUUGCUUUUCCGAGGUAUGAUAGUCCUGGCUCAAGCUCGUUGCUCGCACCCUGAGGAUGGGCCUAUGACUUGGGCAUCAAGCGAGGACAACGGGCCAGGUCCCACCGGGACCAACCUCAUGCUUCCGUAACUCUAGUGAGUAGUUACUAGUAACCCCUAAAAGCAGCCCCCACUGCACCUAAGUGCUACAGCUGGUUGACGUAACUGGCCUGAGUGAGCAAGCCACGAGAGUCGUUAGGUGUAGGAACGUUCCCCACCCCCAGAAUGGAAGUCCCAUGAGCAGAGGGACUUUGGUCUGCUGUGUCACUGCUGCAGCCCCAGAACCCAGAGCAGGGCCCCUUACUGGUUGGUGGUUUAGUAACUGUUCUGAACAAACGAAACGUUAACAGCUGAAAUCACAAAGUCGUUGACUUGAACAAAACCCCUGUACCUCAACUAGUUGCUUUGUAACAGAAACAACACCAGCUUCUUAACACCAGCCCAUCCAUGAUCAGGCAGAGAGCUGUGUUGUCUGUGUCACUCUAGGUGAAUUACUGAUCUGUUCUAGUCUCGGUUUUUCCGUCUCGGAACCGUGGUGGGUAAUUCUCGUUUCACAGGGUAGUUGUGGGGUUGACGGGAGAUGAUUUAGGUAAAGGGUCCUGUACAGCACGUGGCCCUCUGCUAACGUCAUCCUCUCAAGCUGCCCAUUUCCUUCAAAAAUCUACCAAACCGCUUAUAGUUGUGGGCUGUGGCCAGUGGCAUAAAUGGCAUUUCCGAAGAAUUCACUCUGAGGGUCGGAGCACUGUUAGGUAGAAAACAGGAAUAGAAAAUUUCCUUGUGGGAGGGCUGAAGCUUCUGGCAAAAAUUAGUAAGUGCGGUGUUCUGUCAUUUUUGGAACUCUUAGCUCUGUCCUAGCCUGCUGGUGGUAUUUUGCCCCCAGAUUGUCCAGUCGAGACAGAAGCACAACAGAUUUUGAAAUUCCGGGACCGGGGCAGAGCCUCCCAGCAGUAGCGUGUACUGAGAACUGUUUCAUCAUCCAUCACAUGGGGUCACUUGCCAUUCAAAACCGCUGUUUUCUCAGAGAAAAUGUUAAUGCGCCUAAGAAGUUGUACAUUUUCCGAUUUUUUUUAAUCCGCUUUCUGCCACUUGUGGGUCCAGUGACCAGUUUAAGAACACGAUCCUCCCUGAAACGAGAAACAUUACUUCCAGCCACGUCUUUUGCAGCAAAGGGUCAGCGUGCCUUCGCAUUUGGUGAAGGUCUGAGACCCACGGCGGGCAGAGACGAUGUGUCGAUUCUUUCAACCAGAAGUUGGCACACAUUCACCCCGUCGACAAGUCCGUGCCAGCCUUUGAUAGGCUGAGUGAGGGGGAGCAGACGCUUCAGAAUAGUGGCCAAAGGAGAAGUGAGAGGAAACAGGAAGGGUCACGGGUCCCCCAGGGGGUGUUUGGCGCACGUUUAUGGAGAGUCAUGCUGUUGCCACCGCGAGGCGGCUACCGUGAACGUGUGGGAUAAGCUGUGAUUUCGUAAGGUCUCACGAGAACAGGGUCCUGUCGCGUGUACUGUUUGAUUUGUGUUGACUUCCUGUUGGAAGACUUUCCCGAGGGUCUGGUGAUCGGGGGCUGUUCAUAUUUGGGAGUGACGCACUGAGAUGCUGAGUGGAGGGACUGCGGGGUGGGGCCUGUUGAUGGGCUCUUCGCUGUAGGGAGAUCAGGCAGAGAGCCAGUCCCUCAACUGUCUGUUUCUGGAGGCUCGUCUCAGGGACACUUGGGUUUUUCCAGGGGAGCCCCUCAAGUCUGUGAGGUGCAGGGGAGAUGGGCAGUGGCUCUGGGAGUUCUGUCCACAGGACAGGAGAGGGUCGCUGACGGGCCAUCGUCGAUUCAGCAUGUGUGGCCCAGUCUCUGCUUCCUUCUGGUGCUUCCUGUCUGCCCCUGGCUGCACUACGGUCUCCGAUGCCAGUGCUUCUGGUUCAGUGCCUCCUGCCCAGGGUGGGGACCUGAGGACACAGGUGCCCUGCAUAUGGACCUCCGGCAGAGCACCUGUUUUCUGCUGCACACCUCACCCUCCCCUGCCCUGUGGGCUCACGUCACGCGCUUGGGCAUCUGUGGGGUCUGUAGCUCUUCUGCAUUUAGUUCUGUGUUCUACCAGCUACUGAGAUCCCUUCUUCACCGUGAUUGUCGUGUAAGGGCUAUGACGGAAAACGAAACAUAAACCAAGAGUAACCAGACUUGCGGCUAAUGCACCAAGUAUGAGCUGAAGUCGUAUAUGUAUCUUUGUUACCAUGUUUUGUUUGUUUCUAAUAUUUAUUUAUUUUAUGGAAAAGGUGGGGGGGAGGGGGGCAAGGGACAGAGAGAGAGGGAAAGAGAGGAUCCCAAGCAGGCUCCGAGCUGUCAGCACAGAGUCAGACGCAGGGCUUGACCUCAGCAACCCUGAGAUCAUGACCUGAACCAAAAUCAAGAGUCAGACGCGUAACCGACUGAGCCACUCCGGAGCCCCUGUUGGUUUAUUUUUACUUGGCAGUAUAGUAUAAACGUUUUCCCAUGUCAUGAAAUUUUAUUCCCUCACACUGUUUUUUUUUUUUUUUUUUUUAAAUGGUGUUGUAGUUCACUACAUGAAUGAUAGACAUUAGUUUAAUUUGGGACACUCAGUCCAUUUGUAAUUUUUCACUCCAUAGGCAACACCCAGAUAGAUAUACUUCUAAUUAACUAUUUCAUUCCUAGACAUUAUUUGCCGGGCCAGUUGUCCACAGACAAUUUGGAUUUGAACCAAUUUGCAAGAGGGAUUUCAGAUAGUUGCCUGAGAGGAGGAGGUGAGGAGAUGGGAGCAGGUGCAAAGGAAGAAUGGGUUAUUGGAAAAGGUCUCAAGGACACUGACUCGGAUGUGAAAUGGUGCUUUUUCCUGCCUUCCAAGAACUUGCAAGGUGGGGGGGAAACCACGGGAUGAAGGGCUGUGCUUCUGCACAUGUGUUCAUUCGCUCGGUACUUAACCAAACAGUGAGCAGUCCCUGUUUGCUAAGCACAGUGGAAUACAAACAUGAAUGUGACUCAGUUUUUGGCCCUCAAUGCUUACAGGAUAAGGAGGCAGGACUGUGAAGAAAGACCGUGGGACAAAGAGAAACUGGGUGUUGGUUUUAUUGUUCAGUAUAUUUGGUGAUGAUUGAUGAUGAUGAUGUAAUCUUUCAAACAUUUGUAAAAGGAGAAUAAGAGAAUAUUUCCCCCCAUUUGUCUCAGAGCCUUUUUUUUUUUUAGUUUUUAUUUUAAUUCCAGUUAGUUAACAUACGUGUAGUUCUAGUUUCAGGUGUGCAGUCUAGUGCUUACCAGUCCCGUGCCUCACGCAGCGCUCAUCACAGCAGGAGCACUCCCUAGUCCCCUCGCCUGGUUCUCCGUUACCCCCCCCCCCCCACCUCCCCUCUGGCAACCCUCAGAUUGUUCUCUGUAGUUAAGAGUCUGUUUCAUGGUUUGCCUCUCUCUGUGUUUCCCUUUGCUUCUUUGUUUUGUUUCUUAAAUUCCACACAGGACUGAAAUCACAUGGUAUUUGUCUUUCUCUGACUUGUUUCGCUUAGCACCAUAUUGUUGUAAAUGGCAAGAUUUCAUCCUUUUCUACGGCUGAACGAUAUUCCAUUGUGUGUCUGUGUAUAUGUGUGUGUGUGUGUGUGUGUAUAUCUAUCCACGAUAGAUCACCUCUUCUUUAUCCAUUCAUCUAUGGAUGGACACUUGGGCUGCUUCCAAAAUUUGGCUAUUAUAAAUAAUGCUGCUGUAAACAUUGGGGUGCCUGUAUUCUUUUGAAUUAAGUGUUUCUGUAUUCUUUGGGUAAAUACCCAGUAGUGGACUUACUGGGUCAUGGGGUAGGGUAGUUCUAUUUUUACUUUUUUUUUUUUUUUUAAUUUUUUUUCAACGUUUUUUUUUUUAAUUUAUUUAUUUUUGGGACAGAGAGAGACAGAGCAUGAACGGGGGAGGGGCAGAGAGAGAGGGAGACACAGAAUCGGAAACAGGCUCCAGGCUCUGAGCCAUCAGCCCAGAGCCCGACGCGGGGCUCGAACUCACAGACCGCGAGAUCGUGACCUGGCUGAAGUCGGACGCUUAACCGACUGCGCCACCCAGGUGCCCCUAUUUUUACUUUUUGAGGAACCUCCAUGCUGUUUCCCAGAGUGGCUACACCAGUUUGCAUUCCCACCAGCAGUGCAGGGGGGCUCCUUUUUUCUCAGUAUCCUCUCCAAGACUUGCUCCUUGUGUUGUGGGUUUUAGCUGUUCAGAUAGGUGUGAGGUAACAUGUUGCUGUGGUUUGGAUGUGCAUUUCCCCGUGGUAAGUGAUGUCGAGCAUGUCUCCAUGUGUCUGUGGACCAUCUGUAUACCUUCUUCGGAGAAAUGUGCGUUCGGUGUCUUCUGCCCAUUUUUUAAUUCGAUUAUUUGUUGGGUGUGGAGUUGCAGAAGUUUUUUUCCGUAUUUUGGACACUGCUGCCUUUUAGCUUUACUGAUUAUUUCCUUCUCUGUGCAGAAGCUUUUUUAUUUUGAUGUAGUCCCAAUAGUUUAUCUUUGCUUUUGUUUCCCUUGCCCCAGGAGACAUCUCUAGAAAAAUGUUGCUACGACUGCCUGAGCUCUCUUCUGGGAUUUUGAUGGUUUCCUGUCUCACAUUUAGGUCUUUCAUCCAUUUUGAGUUUAUAUUUGGGUGUGGUCUAAGAAAGUGGCCCCGUUUCAUUCUUUUGCGUGUUGCUGUCCAGUUUUCCCAGUACCAUUUGCUAAAAAGACUGUCUUUUUCUCAUUAGAUAUGCUUUAUUAUAUAUUAUUCAUCUUAUAAUUGUGGAUUUAUUCCUGAGUUUCCUAUUCUGUUACACUGUGUCUGUUCUACGUGUCUAUUCUUGUACCGGUACCAUACUGUUUUGGUUUCUACAGCUUUGUAAUAGAACUGAAGUCUGGAAUUGCAAUACUGUUUCAGAGACUGUUAAAGGAACUCUGUAUUACAUAUGUAGUCAAGCUUCUCUGGCUUCUCCAACCUUGAUCUCUCCCCUGCCUCCCUAGCAAGUACUGUCCUGAAUCAAUCUUCUCAUUCCCUUGCAUACUAUAACCAAUCUACGCUAUUGUUUUACAAAUUCAAAAAAACUCUAUACGAUACGAUUUUGCGACUUGCUUUUUUUAUUCAGCAUGUUUUUGAGAUUUUUCCUUGUUGAUAGAAGAGGCUGUAAUUCAUUUUAAUUGCUCAGUAUUGCACCGUGUAAUUAUAUCCCCCCUUAUCUGUCCGUUACUCUGUUGACGGACAUUCAGAUUGAUUCCUGUUUUCUUUUACCAACAGAAGUGCAGCGAGCAUUCUUCUGUAUGUCUCCUUAUGAACAUGGAAAUUUCUCUGAAGGAUGUUAGGAUGUUAGGGUCACAGGACUGGAGCAUCUUUAACUUUCCUAGAUAUUGUCAAAGUAUUCACCUACGUGGUUACACCAAUUCACACUUCUUUCCUCGGUUUAUCAGGGCAGGUCUCUAUCCUUGCCAAUACCUGGUGACAUCAGACAUUUUGUAAGUACCACACGCUAACCAAUGGCACCACUGGAGCUCCCAGACAUUUUAAAUAUAUGUCAAUCUGAGGGGUGUGAAAUAGCCCCUUGUUUAAAAAAAAUGCAGUUUCUGUGAUUACUAAGGACAUGGGACUUUUUGUUGACUGCUUGGGUUUUGAACCACCGAUGGCAUGAACUUGAGACAUGAUUACUCAUUCCGAGCCUCAGUCUCCUGGCUUUCAUAAAACGUGAGUGCCGACAUUUUGGAGUCAUUCGGAGGGUUGGAGACCACGUGCACAGUUCCUGGCUCUGUUUCUGUCUCAGUCUUGAGUCAUUCUUCCAACAAUACCCAGAAGGCUGCCCCCACAUUGAGGAGGACACCCCUCCCAAAGGGCUGUGGUCUGGAGCCAAAGGAGCCGGUCACCGAGGCCCUGUGGGAGCGGAGAGGACCCUCCUGAGAGCCCAGCAGGAGGCCCAGCAGAGCCCCUGCCGCGGGGCAGAGCAUGUGGACAGCCAGUCGGGUCUGGGGUGUUGGCUGACCCCCUCUCUCCCUGCGUACCAUUAGAGUCCGUUCGCACAGUGGCCGCAGCGACCCUUUUAAAGCAGAAAGCGGGUCUUGUGCUCUCGGGUGGCUUCUGAUCUCACUCGGUGAAAGCCAGGUCCUCAUCGUGGCCUGUGUGUGCGGAGAUCCUGCCCGGUGGUUUGUCAGCACUGAAAUGCCAAAAUGAGCCUGGGCGACCAGGUCCCGCACGUCGGAACCACGACCUGGAGGGGAGCGGAGGGGAGGGCAGGGUGCCGCUGGCAGCUGGGGUGAAAUCAGUUGGAUCGGUUGGUUUCACAUAAACGCACUGCUUCCUGUGAGCAGCGUCCCAGUAACUCGGGGCCUGAGUCUCAGCACCCUGACCCCUGCUCUGUUCCAGCCACCCCGAGCCUGCUUUUUCCUCAACAGUCUCUCGCCUGCCUCAAGGCCUUUUAGUCACUGUGCCCCCUUCCUGCAGAAACCUUUGGGCUCCCUCCCUCCCUUCCUUCGGAUCUCUGUCCACAUGUUCCCAUAAUAGGUCUGGGAACAUCCUUUACUUAUUUUUGAGAUAGAGACAGAGUGUGAGCGGGGGAGGGGCAGAGAGAGAGGGAGACACAGGAUCUGAAACGGGCUCCAGGCUCCGAGCUGUCAGCCCAGAGCCCGACGCGGGGCUUGAACCCACGGACCGCGAGAUCAUGACCUGAGCCGAAGUCGGCCGCUUCACUGACCGAGCCGAGCCGUCCAGGCACCCUGACCAUCCUUUAUGAAAUGGCAACCCAAUACCUCUGACCUGACCUCACACACUCCCCAUCAGCCCCACUACCCUUGACCUGACAUUACCUUCUCCCCAUAAGCCUCAUUUGACUUUUUUCCACUUAGCGCUUGUCACCGUCACAACACCUACACAUUCGGUCGUCACUUUGUGAUUUUCCUCAGUUUUGUUCACCUCUGUCUCCCCAGGGCCUACGAUGAUGCCUAGCAUCUGGUGGGCUCUCAGUAGGUACAUUUCUCGAAAUGACUCAGUAGUGGGCUUUCGUUCAAUGUUCCCACAGUCCAGUAGGGGCAGACGGCAUACCAACCAGUAAGUGCAACUCAGGGGCAUCAGUUCGACGGUGGCGUGUACAAGGCAUUCUGAUACGAGGAGACAGAAGUCCGUUCUCCCGGGUGCUGGCUGCCGGGUGAGGGGACGGGCGUCGGGGAGUGCCCAUGCUGGGAUAAGGGCUUGAGCCCAGGCUGCAGAAGUGUGUAGGCAGUUGUGAAGCUGGAGCUGGGAGCGGGCUGACACUCCCGCAUUGGAAGCCGUGUGAGCAAGGGUCCCAGGACAUUAAGCCACAGGGCAGAUGUCUGUGGUGCAUUUCAGAGUGGCAAGCCACUGAGAGUACAGCCCACGUGGUGGAUCGUAGCUCGGGGGGAGGGGACAGAGGCCAAAGAGGGCAGGAGUGUGUAGGCGGGCCCUGCGGGGAGGAGAUUCCAGCCAGCGUGAGAAAGGCCAGGGGGAGAGGAGCACCUGAGUUCAGGCAUUACCGGUGGGGUGUUUGCGUAUAUGUAUGAGAAGGUGGGGUUGAUGCAUUUUAAAAAAACUUUUUAAUGUUUAUUUAUUAUUGACAGACAGAGAGAGACAGACCGUGAGCAGGGGAGGGGCAGAGAGAGAGAGAGAGAGAGGGAGACACAGAAUCUGAAGCGGGCUCCAGGCUCUGAGCUGUCGCCACAGAGCCUGACGCGGGGCUCAAACCCAUGAACCGCAAGAUCAUGACCUGAGCUGAAGUCGGACGCUUAACCGACUGAGCCACCCAGGUGCCCUGGGGUUGAUGCAUUUUUAUUGAGACUUUUAUUGUUUUCUAAAUACAAAAACAAUGCAAAGUCAUUACAGAUUUGCAAAGUGUAGGAAAAGUAUGAAGGAUAUAAAAUUCACACCUGAUCCUACCACACAGAGAGAUGAUGCAGUGUUAACAUCUCAGAUUGUUUCCUUCACUAUGUAUUUAAUUAUACAUCCUCACUAAUAAGGAUAAUUUUUCUCCAAUUACAAAGUUUUGUUUUAUUUUUAUUUUAGAGAGAGAGAGCGAGGAGGGGAGAGGGGCAGAGGGAGAAGGGGAGAAAGAGGGAGAGGAUCUUAAGCAGGCUCCACACUCAGCAUGGAGCCCAGUGUGGGGCUCAGCCCUAUGACCUUGGGGUCAUGACCUGGGCCGACAUCAAGAGUCGGACCCUCUAUGGACCGAGCCACCCAGACGCCCCAUAACUUAGUUCCAGUUACGAAGUUUUGUGAGACGAGUAGGCCGGCAGGAUUGAAGGCGCUGAGGGGUGAUGGGGACAGUUACUGGCAUUGAGAAUACUGGAACUGGAGCUGUGUGUUCUUGGGUCCUUUUGUAAUUUUAAAGGAAGGCCCCUUUUUAGGUUUUGGGUAUUUAAAGAUUCUACAUAGAUGUGAGGUCAUGUAGUGUUUGUCAUUAUCUGGCUUAUUUUUUUAUGGCUGAAUAAGAUUCUGUGUGUGUGUGUGUGUGUGUGUGUGUGUGUGUGUAUGUAGAUGUGCACACAACAUUUUCUUUAUCCAUUCAUCCAUCAGUGGAUACUUAUGUUGUAAAUAAUGCUGCAACAAACAUGGGGAUGGAAAUAUCUUCUCGAACUAGUGUUUGUAUCUCCUUUGGAUAAAUGCCCUGAAGUGGAAUCCCGGGCCAUAUGGUAGUCCUAUUUUUAAUGUUUUGAGGAACCUCCAUGCUGUUUUCCUCAGUGGCUGCACCAGUUUGCAUUCCCACCAACAGUGCACAAGGGUUCCCUUUUCUCCACAUUCUCGCCGAACAGACAUGUAUUUUGUUAACAUAAAAUUUGUAACGCUAUUUGGCAAUGCAUGUCCUGGGAUUUCACUGUCAGCAGCAUAGAAUCCAGAAAAUUUAUAACUGGUAGUCACAGCCAGAUUUGAAACAAAAUGAGUGGAUUUUAAAACGUUGGAAAAUGAAAAUUGUUACAGAGCUUCUGAGCCCUUGAAGAUGUGAAUUAAAAGUUAACUCUCCGAUAUGUAUCCAUUUCAAAGUUAUACUGUAACUUUUUGUGAAAAAUACAUACAAAGUAGGGAAUUUUAGUUUUCACUACCAGGUUUCAUAACAAAAAUAUUUAUACAUUUUAGUAAAUUAUAGUGUAUUUACUAUGUUACACUGUAUCCUUCAAGCGUACUUUGUAAAAGUAGCAGAUUACUGUCUUCUUUCUUAAAUGAACCUUGGCUUCCUAGACCUUCCCAUUUACUUGGUAAUAUUAAAAAAAAAUAGUAACCACAGGGAAGAGAGCUGUGGGUACACGGCAUGAGACACCCCUGCCCUUGAUGCUUGUGGGCCGACCGUCCCCAACAACGUGAGACAGAGGCAUUGAGGGCCCGGCACACACAACAACAAAAACAGCUACUGACUCAAAAAGCAGAGGAGACAAGCUUCAGGUUCUGCGACAGAGGCAUGUGCCAGCGAAGUAGGCCCAUGUACUGCCUUCAGGUAAGUGGGUCGUGCAGAGACAGACCAGGGGAGAAGUUCACAGGCAGCAUUUGUCCGCAAGUGAAGAGAAGCCAGGCUCCCCACGUAUUCCGUGGACUUAAUUUCAAGAGCCAGGACUGGCUUGGAGCCCAGGAGAAGAAAUCUGGUCUUCCAGAAUCACGUUUAAGCUGUUUGUGCUUCAGCUUCGGUGACUCCGGCUCAUCUGUCGGCCGGCUUGAUGUCCAUUGCUGGCACAGGCUGGUCCUUCGUCACAGCACGUAAACUUUGGUGGCAGACUAGUCCUUCAUAGAAUCGAACCGGCCACCCACUUAUCCUCUUCAAGUGUGUAUACAGUGGCGUUAGAGACCAGGGAUGGGUAGUGCUGUCUUCAGUGGAAAUGCGCACAUCUCGGGCAGCAGUUUUCUUUUGCUCACUGAUGACAGAUUUCCAUGCCUCACUCACUGGUCUGUCAUCAUUCUUGCUCUGAUUUUUCUUCCUAAAGCUUCACGGGUUGAGGUAGAGAUUGGAUCUUUUCCUUUUUGGAGACCUUUUCCUCUCAAGGUAGAGUUCCCACCAAGAGUGUGAAUCAAAACUCCAAAUUACCGGGGCGCCUGGGUGGCUCAGUUGGUUAAGCGUCCGACUUGCGCUCAGGUCAUAAUCUUAUAGCUCGUGGGUCCGCGUCCCACAUCAGGCUCUGUGCUCACAGCUCAGAGCCCGGAGCCUGCUUCUCGGGUCCUGUGUCUCUCUCUCUCUCUCUCUGCCCCUCCCCUGCUCACGUUCUGUCCCUCUUAAAAAUAAAUAAACAUCUAAGAAAUUAUUUUUUUAAAAAAAUCUCCAAAUUACCUUCCUUCAUCCUUCUCCUUACCACUGAGCAAGGCUCCUCCAGGCCGCAGAACAUACGUGGCAGGUGGCCUCUUGUCUUAACUUGCCUUUAGUAUCUUACCUCCGUCCCUGCCAGACCAUGGUGGAGGUUCAGAGUUAAGUCUGUGGGUGAACUGCACGCACGGCAAGCCCUUCCCGCUGCACCUUCGUCCUGACGUCUGAGCCUACCUCGAAAGGAAGAGAAAGCCACGGGAGAGCCUGCGGUCAGGAAGGCCGGCUUUGGGUCUUGCGGCCUCUGCCCAGCCCUCCGCCCUGUCUCUGCACAUCACCUCGUCCUGUCUACCGCACGGUUGGUUGGUCUGUCUUCCGAAGUCCACCUGCACCCAGCCCCACCCUCCGCCUGGCAGCCUUCGGCUCGUCGUUUGAACACGUGUGGCUCCACUUAGGUCUUCUUUCGUGUUGGGAAAACGUGGACCUCUGCCUGCCUGCGACGUCAGGCCCUCUGGCUAAUGGUGCCCAGAGCUGUGCCUACAGUUCUGCCUUGUGUGGGGCUCCCGGCUUCGUUGCUUCCACCGCUCCGUCCCUGGGCUGUCGGCCAAAGACGUCUUGCUUCCCCAGGCACGAGGAACGCUGGGGUCUGUGCUCUGGAAGGGGCCUGAGCCAGUUCUGCCUCAUGAGGCCCUUGGGUGAUCUCUCUUGGGCCUUGGCUCUUACUUCUUGGAUCAGGAUGCUGCUGGAUUGUUGCGUGGUGCUGCUGGGGCCAAAGGGCUUCCUGCCAGAGCUCAGGGGUGCCCGCAGGUCAGGGGCUGGGGCUGGGAAGCCCAGCGCAGUACUCAUUUCCUAAGCCCGGGCGGUGGGCCGUGUGCACACACAAGUUCAUGCCUAUGCCCACGUAUGGUCGGGACCCAGGAAGCUCUCCCACAACAGACACUGACACAGUCGCCCAGGGGCCCCUGGCUGACUCAGUCGGCAGAGCAGGCAAUUCUUGAUCUCGGGGUCGUGGGUUUGAGCCCUUCCUGGGUUAGAGAUUACUUAAAAAAAAAAAAAAUUCAUUGGCCCAUUCUUUCCUGAAGCACUUUAAUUCUCUUUAAUGUUUAUUUAUCUAUGGAGAGAGAGCAUGAGCACAAGCGGCUGAGGGGAAGAGAGAGAGUGAGAACCCCAAGCGGAGUCCGAGCUGUCAGGGCAGAGCCCCGCGACUGUGGGUGACCUGAGCCAGAAUCAAGGGUCGGACACUCAACAGACUGAGCCACGCGGGCUCCCCUCCCGAACACACUGUGUGUUACAUCUGUUUUCCUGUUACUUCCAUUACCAAAAAAAAUUGUAUAUUUUUUCUUAAAAAAGGAUUGGACCUAAAUUAUCAUAAGUCACACCCAGGAAUUUAGUACCUUUGAGAGAACAGGAGCAUUUAAAGGUAUAAUAAUAAUUUUGUGGUCAAAUAGUAACCCAACCAAAUAUUUAUUUGAGGGCCUACAAAGUUACAAGACUAUGUAAAAAGGCAGUAGUUACUGCUGAGUAUGCAGCCCAGUUACGAUAACCAAAGGCGAAACAAGUAUUUUAUUAUUGGGGCCAUUACAGAAAACUAGACCGACUAAGGGGAUAUACCAAAAUAAAGAUGUUUACGGAAGUUCUCGAACUUCACUAAGCAUGCCAGCAAUCAGUAUUGAGAUCAUGUCCUCUUCUGAUGAAGUUUUGUUUCUUGGCAUUUUGUUAGGUCCCCGUUAAUAGUAAUAAUCUUAUAUUUCUGCAAAGUUAAACUGUUUAAAAGUUUAGCACACCAAACCACUCAAAGUUUAAGGUGAAUAGGUGAACAUACUUUCUCAGAUUAUACGCUGCAGAAGUAGCAGCCUGGGACCCAGUUUUUUACUGUCGUGUAACAAACCAUCCCGACAAGUAAUAACGUGGUACUUAUGACGACCGUCUGGCUUGGCUGGCCUCUGCUGGACAGUUCCUCUGCUCCACGUGGCUUCUCCCGGGGCUCAGUGCAGCUCCUUCCGCUGGGGGCUCAGCUCAGGCUGGAGCGUCCGAAACGGCGCCACCCACACUCCAGGGCUGUGGCAGGACAGCUGGAGCCACUGAGGCUGGACGGGGCUCUCUCCAGCUCCACAGGGAGCCAUGGAGUCAAGACGGAAGCAGCCCGGCCUCUUAAAGGCCGGGCGAGGCUCGGGACUGGCACGGUUUUCGGUGGUGGUUCAUUCCACUGGAGCAAGUCCCCGGCCGGCCGCGACCGGAGGGGAGGGCGAGGGGCUCGCCUUCCUCCGGGGGCUGCAGCCCGCGCGUCCAGGCGACAGGCGGUUAUCAGUGCUUAUUUCUGGACACGGUCACCGUGUGUCGUGUGUGUUUGAAAACCAAAGGGAGUUUUGCUAUGUGACGUUUCCAAGGAGUGUGUUAUACCUCUCUCCACCUAUGUCCGAAGUGGCAAAACUAAACAUCUUUAGCAUUUUAGCAAAUAUCCCUCAAAACCGAGGGAUUCCUUUGUGAAAUCUUGCUCUUUCGCCGGCCUCAACUGGGAUCUGAGGAAGUUGGUCAUCUGCCCACAAUGAUGUAGCUACAUAAUACAGGCAGGUUUACUUCAAUGGAACAUGGCAGAGGCAUGAAUAAAUACUCUUAUUGUGACCUGUCUUUAACAAAAACGUUUCAACAUAAAACAAAAUGAAGUCAAAACCUUUUUUCUCAUUUUUUUUUUAAUUUUUUUUCAACGUUUAUUCAUUUUUUUUGGGACAGAGAGAGACAGAGCAUGAACGGGGGAGGGGCAGAGAGAGAGGGAGACACAGAAUCGGAAACAGGCUCCAGGCUCUGAGCCAUCAGCCCAGAGCCUGAUGCGGGGCUCGAACUCACGGACCGCGAGAUCGUGACCUGAGCCGAAGUCGGACGCCUAACCGACUGCGCCACCCAGGCGCCCCUCAUUUUUUUUUUUAAUGUUCAUUUUUAAGAGAGAGAGAGCACAAGCAGGGGAGGGGCAGAGAGAGAGGGAGACACAGAAUCCAAAGCAGGCUCCAGGCUCCGAGCUGUCAGCACAGAGCCCGACGCGGGGCUCGAACCCUCCAACCAGGAGAUCAUGACCCGAGCCGACGUCAGACGCUUAACCGGCUGAACCGCCCAGGCGCCCCUAACUUUUGAUACUUGUUAACAAGCAUUCACCUCACAGGAGAAUUAUGGUUUCUAUUUCACUGGCCCGUUUAUCUUUAUAAUCGCUUGCUUUAUCUUGGUGCUAGCUCAGGUUAUCAAAUGCUAUUGUAUUCGUCCCUCUUUCGUCAUUGGCUGGGUUGCAGCUUUUUCAUGUUUGUUUAAUUUUAGGCUAAAUUUAUUCUUUGUUCCCUACCUCCGAGUUUCUUUUCCCUCUAACGUGCUGAGCAGUUACCCUCCCCGGAGGCACUUGCUGUGUAAACAAGCUGUAGGUGCGGUGGCUUCAUCCAGCAGACCUUUAAGAGGCCACCACCAGGGGCUGAUGUUUCUGUGAGUCACACGGAUGUGCGGUGGUCAUCGAUUUUCUUUUCUUGUACACACAUCACCUUUCUAAUCUAAAGGUUGCUUCCGUUCGUUCCGCGCCUGACUUUCCAGCCGUCGUGGGAGCGCACGCGCACAGGAGCUCUCCUAAGCCCGCGGAGAGCGUGCCUCCUUCUCUGGGAAGUACAUACCGUGCAAAGAAUGGCGGGAGGUGGGAGGCCGGUCCGCGGGGCUGGCUGGUGACUCACAUCCAUCCCGCCCCAGGCCUGUGUUUCUGAUUAAGGCUUGACAGACUGGCGGCCGGAUGCGCUGAAACACUGUGUUCCGCUUUGUUUCCAGAAGAACUCUUGGAAGCAUCUGGUUCGGGGAACGAGAGGCAACAGCAGACCCUGCUGCAGUGUGUGGGCCUCCCGGGCUGCCUCCUGGCGCUCCCAGGAGCGGCUGUCGCUUCCCUGCUCACCCAGGCACCUUCCCUCCCCUGCGGGCACGCUUCUUCCAAGGCUACCUACCCUGCCAGCAUUGCUGGGUCUUUCUCCCGCUGUUCUCUCAGGAAGUCGAGUCUGCUGGAUCCCAUUCCUUUUUAAGGUGGAGAAGAGGAGUACCGCCCAGUUUCAAAGCUGGCUGUGCUGUCUUCUUCCUUGGCAAGCUGAGCAAGUGCCCGUUGGACUUGGGGAGAGAGCGGGUGUGGGAGUCCCAGGACAGCAGUGCUCGGGCGGCCAGAGAUGGGGCCUUCAGUGAGCGACGGCCAGACCCUCUCUCCCUCCGUUUUAACUUUGAACUUAAAUCGAUAGUGGGUAUGGGAAGGACUGAGACACAGGCCCACACAGACCCAGCAAGGCCCGAGUUCUGAAUUUCUAGUUUUUCAGCCAAAAUUCAUAGCUGGAAUGUUAAAAUGUUGGGGAUAUGGCUUUGCUAAUGUUUGAAAAAUGCUUCCUUACCAGGAAGGAGGUGGGGGAAAGAUUUCCGUAGGAAAUUCCUUCCUUCAUACAUAAUAACUUUUCACUGAAUUUCAAUUACUCUCAGUCUUGUGUCGAUGCCCAUAAAAUAAUCGAGCUAUAUAGAGUAUGUGAACCCAACUUUCGUCUUCCUCUGAGUUAUGAGUCAGAAAUUGCAGGAGCAUGACUAGGUUUGCAACAGCUCUUCCCCAGAGGACCUGUGAGUGUGAGUGGUGGAGAAAAUGCACCCAUUUGAGGGUGACCAGGUCAGGAGAGCAAAGGCAGGCGGGGCACACACCUGGCCAGACCACAGCCCCUUCCCCGGACCGAGAGCCCGUGCGUCUGGGGCUGAGGGACAGCAAAGCUGGUUGCCAGGGAGCCGGUCCCUGGGCAGGGCUGCUGGGGAGGAGGCUCAGAGGGAGGGGCGGGAUCUGGACCAGGUGGCGGGGAUGUCAGGUGGUAAUGCACCUGCAGUGGAGGCCUUGGCCGAUCCCAGCGGACGCUGUGGGACGGUCCCAGCGUGGAGCCGCCCCAGAUCCUGCUGGGGCAGCGGGAGAGCGGUGUGGCCACGUGCCCCCAACCUCACCCACUUGGCCACUUGUUAAACUGCCUCACCACAGCCCGUUGCACAGCGGACAAGAUGUGGGAGAUUCCCGCUUUCCAGAAUUUGUUGUGGCUAGAAGCCAUUUUCAGUUCUCAGCAGUUUGUUGAUAAAAUGUAAGAGGAGAAACCUCUUGGGAGAGAUGCCUAAGGUGGAAUGCUCUCGCCUUCAGAGCACCGAGCGUCCACCACCCUGGUGUGGGUAAAGCAGACAAACAGAGCUUCUAGACUGGGUGCGGGACGCGGAGGUUGGGGGGAGGCCUGGAAGGGGCAGGUCGAGUCCGCACAGGUUGGGUCUGCAGCAGGUGGCAGGGAGCAGUCGCCGUGAAGCUCGCGGGGACCCUGGAGGCAUCUUGAGUCGCAGCUAGCGCGCCUCGAACGACGGCUCCCAUCCCAGCACGCGCGGCCGUCUCGAAGAGAAAACUUCGUCCCUGCUGGCGAAGCGUGCCUUUCGUGUGAGACGUUCAGCCCUAACUGAAGCCUUCUGGAGUGUUUCCGGAGAAUUCAGUUGUAUGUAAGAUCUUCUUGGUGCACGGUGAUGGGUGACAUAAAGGCAUCAAAGUCUUGUCGACGGACGUGCCGCUCCGUCUGCGAGUGUUAAUAAUCAGUGGUAAGCGGUUCAGAGACACACAGUGGGACAGCUUUAAGAUUUUGCGAACUUCUGUAGCAGAGGCUCCUGAAGAAGGGCCCAGGUAUGCAAAUUGGGUCAUAGAGUAAAGCUAGGGAGACAGGUUGGUUAUCACAAUCCCAGCCUGCGUUUGGGGGUAGCCCUCGUGGGCGCUUUACCUGUCUUCCCACACAGCGGGAGGCAGCCCGCCCAGGGAACCCACGGCCUCUCCCGUCUGUCUCCCAGCUGGCGGCUCCUUCCUCCUCUCCUGAUGUCAGACCACAGCCCCACUCGGCCGUUCCAUCACUCGGCCGUCUCUUCCUAGUGUCAGACACAGGACCGGAUGCCUGACUGUCCUUCCCUUGAAACUGGGGCCACGUGCUCGCUUCAGGGCAGGGCCGCGCAACCUCGGUCUCCUCUCCGCACCCACAGAACGUAGUUACUUUUGAGGGGCAGCCCGAGGUGCAGUGGAGUGGAAGAGAUCGGAAGCGUCCGUCGAGACUUGGUGAAAAGAACGCGUUCCCUUCCUCUUUAGAAUUAUGGGAAGAGGAACAAAGCGUAAAGCCUUGCGCUUUAUGCCUUUAUAUCUGUCCCGGGGCGGAUCGGUAACAGGAGCACGAGGGACGGAGGAGCACGUGGGGUGGGGCGCAGGGGCGGCGUGGGGACAGGUAAGAGGAGGACACAGUUCAGAGGCCCCUGGGACAUGCGUGUGUGCUGCGGGAGGAAGGGCCAAGGAGGGCCCGUGUGCGCCAGCCCGUGCAGGAUGCUUGGAGGUGCAGGCACCUGGCGCACAGUAUGCUGAUGUUGGAGCGCGCACCGUCCCGGAGAAGUGCCCAAGCGCUGGGGCAGGACUUGGGCAUUCUUGGGGGCACUCUGGUCUGCCGUUGGUGGAAUGCAGACUGGUGCAGCCACCCCGGAAGACAGUGUGGAGGCUCCUCGGAAAGUUCAAGAGAGAACUGCCCUAUGACCCAGC